UCCGGUUUGUCACCGGCAGUCUCCUAUGAGUCCCCAACUGAAUGAUGGCAACAUAGGACAGGGGUUGCGCUCGUUGCGGGACUUAACCCAACAUCUCACGGCACGAGCUGACGACAGCCAUGCACCACCUGUGCACCGGCCCCGAAAGGCUGCCGUAUUUCUACGGCAUUCCAGUGCAUGUCAAGCCUUGGUAAGGUUCUUCGCGUUGCGUCGAAUUGAACCACAUGCUCCGCUGCUUGUACGGGCCCCCGUCAAUUCCUUUGAGUUUUAAUCUUGCGACCGUACUCCCCAGGCGGGAAGCUUAAUGCGUUAGCUGCGCCACUGAAGAGCAAGCUCUCCAACGGCUAGCUUCCAUCGUUUACGGCGUGGACUAC
rnacentral:misc_RNA from 1 species